UACGUAGGGGGCAAGCGUUGUCCGGAAUCAUUGGGCGUAAAGAGCGCGUAGGCGGCCCAGUAAGUCCGCUCUGAAAGUCAGGGGCUCAACCCCUGAAUGCGGGUGGAUACUGCUGGGCUAGAGUCCGGAAGAGGCGAGUGGAAUUCCUGGUGUAGCGGUGAAAUGCGCAGAUAUCAGGAGGAACACCGAUGGCGAAGGCAGCUCGCUGGGACGGUACUGACGCUGAUGCGCGAAAGCUAGGGGAGCGAACGGG
rnacentral:rRNA from 1 species